CUACGGGGUGCUCCAGUGGGGAAUAUUGCACAAUGGGCGAAAGCCUGAUGCAGCAACGCCGCGUGAGGGACGACGGCCUUCGGGUCGUAAACCUCUUUUAGCAGGGAAGAAGCGAAAGUGACGGUACCUGCAGAAAAAGCACCGGCUAACUACGUGCCAGCGGCCGCGGUAAUACGUAGGGUGCAAGCGUUGUCCGGAAUUAUUGGGCGUAAAGAGCUCGUAGGCGGUUUGUCGCGUCUGCUGUGAAAAUCCGAGGCUCAACCUCGGACCUGCAGUGGGUACGGGCAAACUAGAGUGCGGUAGGGGAGAUUGGAAUUCCUGGUGUAGCGGUGGAAUGCGCAGAUAUCAGGAGGAACACCAAUGGCGAAGGCAGAUCUCUGGGCCGUAACUGACGCUGAGGAGCGAAAGCGUGGGGAGCGAACAGGAUUAGAUACCCUAGUAGUC
rnacentral:rRNA from 1 species